rnacentral:rRNA from 1 species
GCGCAGCAGUCGCGAAACCUCCGCAAUGCGCGAAAGCGCGACGGGGCCACCCCGAGUGCCGCCCGCUGAGGGCGGCUUUUCCCCGGUGUAGACAGCCGGGGGAAUAAGGGGAGGGCAAGUCUGGUGUCAGCCGCCGCGGUAAUACCAGCUCCCCGAGUGGUGGGGACGAUUAUUGGGCCUAAAGCGUCCGUAGCCGGCCCGGCAAGUCUCCCGUUAAAUCCAGCGAUCUAAUCGCUGGACUGCGGGAGAUACUGUCGGGCUAGGGGGCGGGAGAGGCCGGCGGUAUUCCCGGGGUAGGGGUGAAAUCCUAUAAUCCCGGGAGGACCACCAGUGGCGAAGGCUGCCGGCUGGAACGCGCCCGACGGUGAGGGACGAAAGCCGGGGGAGCGAACCGGAUUAGAUACCCCGGUAGU